ensembl:lncRNA LINC02940 long intergenic non-protein coding RNA 2940
GGGGCAGCUAGCUGUGCUGUGGAGAUGCACACAGCUUGAACUGACUCGAUAUUCUUUUUUUUUCAUCAGGUGUCAUCUUGCUGGAGGGCAGAAGGAUUCCCUGGAACCUGGGGGCCAGCAGGACAGAGGAAACAGAAAGUACAUGACCGAUGAUGUCUUUCGACCACAGAAAGGGCUGGAAGAAGCAGGGGACCUACUGUUUGAAUAAACCCAGUGGAAAAACAGAAGCCCCAUUUCAUACUUGACUCAGCUCUUCAAGUUUAAAUCUUGAAUCUCCUCAACUACACGGAACAGUGUCUCUCCCAAGUCAUCUGACACCCACUCUGUUCUCUGGAUCAUUCCUUCCUAGAGAACGUUGCUCUUGGAGGGCUGUGAUCUGCUCUCACCCACUUGCCUUUCUGACCCACUGAGUGCAUCUCAACAGUCACUUGGGGUGAUCCGAUCUGACCAGGAAGGGUUGGGUGGCUCGUGGAGCUUGGGAAGCACUCUCACUGUGGCGGUCCCCAUUGGUGGUCAUGGGGUUGCCACAGUGAGCUACGUUUCUACCCUCAUCUCUCUAUAUGUUACCGUGGAAUCUCUGACUGAGGACCCAUGGGCUCACCCAAUGUGAUAAAGUCCUGAAGCUCAGCCGGGACGUCCGACCCCAGCUGCAGGACUUUCCAAUAGACAGAUGCAUAGAACUUGAGAAGAAAUCGACUUAGAAACCUGAAGUUGGAAAACUGGUUGCCUGACAUUCUGUGCAAGACUGAAUCUCUGAGAAAUGAAGGCUGUGUAACUUUGGGACCAUGUCUUUUCCAGCCUACAUAGACCCCCAGGAAACUUUGCAGUUGUUCCCCAAGUAUGGAUGGAGUCAAACUUGAUGUCCUUUCAUCCCCCCAUCCCAUCCACUAAUCCAUAUCCUUUGGAAAUUUUAGAGUGCCGGGCCUCAUGUAAAUACACCAAAAACAAUUUAAGUCAUUUAUGUUCUACUAAGCCAAGAGUUCUUUAGCGGUGGAAGAAGAUGGGGUCUUACACGAAUGGAAGGGUCUUGGCUAUUUGCGUCGGUAUCAACAGAAGGACUAGACGCUUGCACUAAAAGAAAAAGCUGAGGGAUGGGGGCAGGAAGCGGGAAGCUGGGACCCAAGCCCCACCUUCCUGAGUUGGAAGGUGACAGGUAGACUCCUGCUUGUUUGCCAGAGAGGCCUGGCAGAGGAGAACUAAAAUAAAAUCCGAAGUCCCCAAGUGACUGAACAGACCCCCUCUUGGCCAAGGGGACCCCAGAGAAACCUGAAAGCUGAGCUCCCAGCCAUGAGGGGACGGGCGAUCGGACACGCUUCAUCACAGUCCCUCCCCUUUGUGGUUUAAACGACGAUGAUCGGCUGUCAUGCUAAAAUAGAGACACGAGACCGACAGCACAGACUCCUUAUGGCAAUAAGACACCAAAUUAUAAGCAGCACCUCAGGCCACGCCAGGUAAGGGUCGAGCCGCGCACUCUACACUUAGAGAACGGACUCUGCUCUCACACCACAGCGUCUUCUUUUUCUUCAGCAGCUAAACACGCACCGGCCCCGAGAUUCAAACGACUGCAGCUCAUCCACCUGCAGACGCUGGCUGACCCCGUUCCACAGCUGUGACUAUAGCUUUGAUUGGACAAGAGGUUGAUUUCAGUCUCCUGGUAAGAGACCACCAACCAUAGACCUGGUUCAGGCUGAUUAUAGAAGCUGCACACUUGUAUGCCUUCGAGUCCCUGCCUCACCUUUUGACGUGUAGGGACUCAUUGUAAUGCUUUUAAAUGUGAAGCCUCCACCCCAAAGUGAACAUGGGACGCAUGUAACGUGCAUGUUCAGUGGGCACGGCUCAGGACUCUCUUUGUGAAUAUUCAUAGCUCCUCCUGGAACCUGAAUAUGUAUGUUUGGCCAGCUCAAUUCAGCAUGAGGCUCCUGCUGCAACACCGCCUCCUUCCAGGUGCCUGCCAGCUGUUUCUGCCAGAGGCUGCGUCUCCCGGCCUGUCAGAAUGGCCACCCUGCAGGCUGUAAUCCUUUAGAAGAAAUAAAGAUCCCCUUUCCAGAUGUA